rnacentral:rRNA from 1 species
AGCAGCCGCGGUAAUUCCAGCUCCAAUAGCGUAUAUUAAAGUUGUUGCAGUUAAAAAGCUCGUAGUUGAAUUUCGGGAUCGACGGGUCGGUCGCGCCUCCGGUGUGUACUGGCCCUGUCGGUUUCUCCCUUCUGACGAACUGCGAUGUCAUUAAUUUGGUGUCGUAGGGAAUCAGGACUGUUACUUUGAAAAAUUAGAGUGUUUAAAGCAGGCACACGCUUGAACACAUUAGCAUGGAAUAAUGAAAUAGGACGUUUUGAUCUUAUUUUGUUGGUUUCUAAGAUCGACGUAAUGAUUAAUAGGGAUAGUUGGGGGCAUUAGUAUUCAAUUGUCAGAGGUGAAAUUCUUGGAUUUAUUGAAGACUAACUACUGCGAAAGCAUUUGCCAAGGAUGUUUUCAUUAAUCAAGAACGAAGUUAGGGGAUCGAAGACGAUCAGAUACCGUCGUAGU